GUUAACUGGAAGACUCAUAACUCUUCAUAUACUGACAAACCUCAAGUUAUGACAGAUUUGGUUACUUCUAUAUCCAAACACAUAAUCCCACCUGGGCGGAUUGCCAGCAAUUAUUAUUAACUUUAUUUAAUUGUGAGGAAAGGACCCGGAUUAAUUAAGCGGCUAUUAAAGCGUUUGAGGAAACGUCCCGUACUCAAAAUCAGGCCAAUCCAGUUGCAUUG